UACCUAUAAGACUGGGAGUAACUCCGGGAAACCGGGGGCGUAAUACCGGAUAACACAUGAAACCGCAUGGUUUCAUGAUGAAAGACGGUUUUGCUGUCACUUAUAGAUGGACCCGCGGCGUAUUAGCUAGUUGGUAAGGUAACGGCUUACCAAGGCAACGAUACGUAGCCGACCUGAGAGGGUGAUCGGCCACACUGGAACUGAGACACGGUCCAGACUCCUACGGGAGGCAGCAGCC
rnacentral:rRNA from 1 species